rnacentral:rRNA from 1 species
GCCUUGCGCUAUCAGAUGAGCCUAGGUCGGAUUAGCUAGUUGGUGAGGUAAUGGCUCACCAAGGCUACGAUCCGUAACUGGUCUGAGAGGAUGAUCAGUCACACUGGAACUGAGACACGGUCCAGACUCCUACGGGAGGCAGCAGUGGGGAAUAUUGGACAAUGGGCGAAAGCCUGAUCCAGCAAGGCCGCGUGUGUGAAGAAGGUCUUCGGAUUGUAAAUCAAUUGAAGUUGGAGGAAGGGCAUUAACCUAAUA